CUUGAUCGAACCCAGCCAGAGCGGCCGGUCCUCGGGCCGAUCCUGGCCGUAGGUCGCCAGCAGCGCCUGCGCCUC
rnacentral:antisense_RNA from 1 species